rnacentral:rRNA from 1 species
UGGGGAAUAUUGGGCAAUGGAGGAAACUCUUACCCAGCAAUGCCGCGUGAAUGAAGAAGGUCUUCGGAUUGUAAAGUUCUUUAAUUGGGGACGAAAAAAAUGACGGUACCCAAGGAAUAAGCCCCGGCUAACUACGUGCCAGCAGCCGCGGUAAUACGUAGGGGGCAAGCGUUGUUCGGAAUGACUGGGCGUAAAGGGUGCGUAGGCGGUGUAGCAAGUUAGAAGUGAAAUACCUAGAGCUUAACUCAGGUGCUGCUUCUAAAACUGCUAUACUUGAGUGCAGUAGAGGAAAGUGGAAUUCCU